GACGAACGCUGGCGGCGUGCUUAACACAUGCAAGUCGAACGGAAAGGCCCCUUCGGGGGUACUCGAGUGGCGAACAGGUGAGUAACACGUGAGUAACCUGCCCUUGACUUCGGGAUAACUUCAGGAAACUGGGGCUAAUACCGGAUAGGAAUCCUUGCUGCAUGGUGGGGGUUGGAAAGCUUCGGCGGUUUUGGAUGGACUCGCGGCUUAUCAGCUUGUUGGUGGGGUAGUGGCUUACCAAGGCUUUGACGGGUAGCCGGCCUGAGAGGGCGACCGGCCACAUUGGGACUGAGAUACGGCCCAGACUCCUACGGGAGGCAGCAAUGGGGAAUAUUGCACAAUGGGCGGAAGCCUGAUGCAGCAACGCCGCGUGCGGGAUGACGGCCUUCGGGUUGUAAACCGCUUUCAGCAGGGGCGAAGCUUGUGGUGACGGUACCUGCAGAAGAAGCACCGGCUAACUACGUGC
rnacentral:rRNA from 1 species